GAUGAACGCUGGCGGCGUGCCUAAUACAUGCAAGUCGAGCGAACGGACGAGAAGCUUGCUUCUCUGAUGUUAGCGGCGGACGGGUGAGUAACACGUGGAUAACCUACCUAUAAGACUGGGAUAACUUCGGGAAUCCGGAGCUAAUACCGGAUGAUAUUUUGAACCGCAUGGUUCAAAAGUGAAAGACGGUCUUGCUGUCACUUAUAGAUGGAUCCGCGCUGCAUUAGCUAGUUGGUAAGGUAACGGCUUACCAAGGCAACGAUGCAUAGCCGACCUGAGAGGGUGAUCGGCCACACUGGAACUGAGACACGGUCCAGACUCCUACGGGAGGCAGCAGUAGGGAAUCUUCCGCAAAGGGCGAAAGCCUGACGGAGCAACGCCGCGUGAGUGAUGAAGGUCUUCGGAUCGUAAAACUCUGUUAUUAGGGAAGAACAUAUGUGUAAGUAACUGUGCACAUCUUGACGGUACCUAAUCAGAAAGCCACGGCUAACUACGUG
rnacentral:rRNA from 1 species